GAUCUCAGAGGUCCCUUCCAGCCCAGCUGAUUCUCUGAUUCUGUGAUUCUAUGAUUCUAUGAUUUAUGAAGUCAUCCCUGUAACCAGCCAUCCACCAUCCAUGGACUUAUCCCUCACAAUUACCCAGUGGGUUUUGAUCUCUCCACUGACACCUGCGUGUCCUGCAAAGGCUGCAGAAGCACUGAACACCCGUAUCCAGCAGGUGUUUCCAUGGCAACGCCGUGUAAAGCCAUCCUUUCCCUCUGACACGGGAGAAAAUGUUGAAUGGCUGAAAAGAAUUGGCUUGGGAAAACCUGGAACUUCCACUAAGAAUAGGCGAGGCAAUAAUGGGAGGUGAUGGUGGAAAAGCUGCCCCGGGGGCUUUAAACCCCUCCUGGGGGGGGGGGGUCUCUUGGUGCAGCUGAAGGCAAUUUGUUGUUUCUCUUUGAUGAGAAGAAAGAAAGGUUUUUGUUUUCUUGUAAGAUGUGGAGCAGCCCUGGCAGUGUUGUCCCUUCAUUCAAGGGGACGUUCCCUUCCCCUCUUAGCAGGAAGUCUCCUAAUUCCAUUUUAUCCCAUAGAAAUGAUUCUGAGGGACCCAGAGGGCCAGGAAGGAGCAGCAGAGCCCCAGACUCUCCCCUAAGGAAUGGCUUUGCUUGAAAGCCUAUAACUCUUCCAGUAAAUCAGUGUAAUUUGUGCUCUGAUGUCCUGCACGGCUUUACAACAAGUGACAAAUCAAUCAUUAUCCAAACAUCCUUUGAUAAUCAGUGUGGUUCCAUUAAUUAUGAUAAAUGCUUUCAGCAGCUGCAGUAUGUGGACCUAAUACAUAAUUGCUUGGGAAUCAUAUUACCCUACUUCUCUCUUCACUUCAUCAAGUACAAAGUCUCUCCAAAACCUGCCACACUCCAGCAGCUGAAGGCAGAGUUUACACAAUCCACUCUUGCAAGGGUUUAAUUGGAGCAAAUGCAGAGUCCAUUAGUAUUAGUGUUAUUAAAUAUUAAGUAAUAUUCCUUGAAAAGGGCCCAUUACAGCUUUACAAAUUACAAAUAUACAGGAGGACUCUCUCAGUCUCCUGACCCAGGGGAUUCAUUGGAGCAGUUGUUGCACAGCAACACGGUGCAGGCGAUUAGGACCUCACCUAAUGAGCAGCACUGCAUCCAAUUGGAAUUGCAAGGAAAUUUAGCCUGGCAGAAUGCAAUUACUGCCUUCUGAACCCGAUUGGAUCAAAGCCUGGCCCUGUUCUUCAAAAAGUGCACCUUUAAGGAGCGGGGAAAGAGCCCCAGGUGAGAAGGGGCAAUUCCCACCGGUCUUAAAGACACGAGAGGGGAAGGGGCUGAGAGGCCUCGAAUCAAAGGGACAAAUUCAACCAACAGGUCACUGGAUGCACCUUCACAUGAUUAAACCUCAGGGAUUCGGGGCCACAGCACAUCCCUGGGAGCAGGAGUUCAGCUGCCUGUUCAGACAGAACCGACAUUUCUAUCGGAACCCAGGACUCGUCGUCAAAAUAAGACAACGUGAAUUUAGAAAAGGUUAUAAUUCUUUUGAAUUCAGAGAGAAAUGGCCUCGGUGGCAGGUUUUUCCCUUGUUCAGGGUCUUUUUUUUUUUUGCCCAUUUGUCACUGGGAGUGACAGGAUGCUGAACUGGGUGGAUUUUUGGAGCUGCUGCUCACGAGAGCGCCUGUGCUUUUAUUCCCUUUCAUCCCGGUGAUCUGAAGGAGUCAGACCUUGGGUUUACACCCAUCAGCAGGGAGCUUUAAGGGAGUUUUCCAGGGGAUUUGGGUAAAGCAGAACAGCUCCAUUAAAUCGUGAGGGGAACCAAAAUCCUGCGUCUCAGCUCUUCCUGCAACAUCUGUGUUAUUCCUGCAGUAACUCCUGCUGGGAAAAGCAUGUUAAGAUCGGUUUUAGGAGGGGAAAAAGCUUAGUUGUUUGGAAAGUUUAAAGAAAAGUGGGCGUGGAAUAAAUAUUUGGAUAGAUCAAAGCAGCACAGGGAGGGGGCAGGAGCGGCUCCUGGGGGUUCCUCAUCCAACAGGGACAGGGAAGAAAAGAUGAUGGAGCAGCUGGACCAGAGCCUGGAAAUUUUAGCACAGUGGGAAAUCUUAGGGAAAAAAAUGUGCAGGAAGGCUGGAAUGAAGGGUUCAGCUGAAUUGCAGCCUGGCCUCCCCAGAAGAAUCAGGAAAAUCAGGAUCCAGACCCCAAACCAGCCAGGUCUGAGCAGGAGCCUCAAGGAAACUCCUGUGGUGCUCAGUCCAACUGGGAGUGCAGUUGCCCUGGGAGGAAGGACAACAAUUGUCACCAAAAAGCAAUAUUUAAAGCAUAAAGACAAGCAGAAAUUCUGCUUAGAGGACUCCUUAGAGUGGAUUUCCCCCCCCAAAUUUGACUUUUUAAGACGGAAUUUUCAUGAAAAUAACGAGGGCUGUAUAAAUUCUGAGUCUGAACAUCCUGUUCCCAGUGCUCUGCACUUCCAGACAUCCCUUUUACAGGUAAAGGGAUCCUCCUAUUUGGAUGCAGGCAGAAGGAGAUUUUGCAGAGGGAUUUAGAAAAAAACUAAUAUUUGUAUUUUCAGAAAAAAAACCCACUUCAGAAUAAAGGAGACAGAGCAGACACAAACCUGGGGAGACUCCUGGAGCACCUCCAUGAGGUCCUUUCUCCUGAUUUUCACCACCUUAUUCUUUAGGCUUCAACCAGAGCUUUUCCUUUUCUCAUCUACACGAGUUCUCCUGAGGAAUCUGUGUCCUCAGAUCCUCAGGGAUCCACCCUGGUGUGUCCCCACCUGUCCCUUUCCUGCUUUCAGGGAUGUACAUCAGCCCAGUUCCAAGAGUUGUAUUGCUUUUUAGCAAAGAGGGGUUUAACUCUGUAUUUUCACCAGUUUUCCCUAAACCUUUUGGCAUUUAAUGAUCUGAAAAUAAACCCUCUUUUGUAUUUGG